UGGCUGAGGCCUAACACAUGCAAGUCGAGCGGUAGAGAGAAGCUUGCUUCUCUUGAGAGCGGCGGACGGGUGAGUAAUGCCUAGGAAUCUGCCUGGUAGUGGGGGAUAACGUUCGGAAACGGACGCUAAUACCGCAUACGUCCUACGGGAGAAAGCAGGGGACCUUCGGGCCUUGCGCUAUCAGAUGAGCCUAGGUCGGAUUAGCUAGUUGGUGAGGUAAUGGCUCACCAAGGCGACGAUCCGUAACUGGUCUGAGAGGAUGAUCAGUCACACUGGAACUGAGACACGGUCCAGACUCCUACGGGAGGCAGCAGUGGGGAAUAUUGGACAAUGGGCGAAAGCCUGAUCCAGCCAUGCCGCGUGUGUGAAGAAGGUCUUCGGAUUGUAAAGCACUUUAAGUUGGGAGGAAGGGUUGUAGAUUAAUACUCUGCAAUUUUGACGUUUACCGACAGAAUAAGCACCGGCUAACUCUGUGCCAGCAGCCGCGGUAAUACAGAGGGUGCAAGCGUUCAUCGGAAUUACUGGGCGUAAAGCGCGCGUAGGUGUUUUGUUAAGUUGGAUGUGAAAUCCCUGGGCUCAACUUGGGAACUGCAUUCAAAACUGACUGACUAGAGUAUGGUAGAGGGUGCUGGAAUUUCCUGUGUAGCGGUGAAAUGCGUAGAUAUAGGAAGGAACACCAGUGGCGAAGGCGACCACCUGGACUAAUACUGACACUGAGGUGCGAAAGCGUGGG
rnacentral:rRNA from 1 species